GUGCGUUUUGUAACUUAACUGCGCAGCGCACUCCAAAGACCCAAGGCACAAUACCCAACUAGGCUGCAACAAUAGAGUGCAGAGAGGUCCGGGUGGUGAGAGAGAGGGCUCUAGCGUUGGUGGUCAGGGAGCUUACAGCGAGCAGGUGUGAUUAAUAUGAGCAUCUGGGAGCGUGGAGCAGGGCCUGCAGUACUUCCUACCACUGGCCUUCCGUGUUCUGGAUCAUUCUUACUGGAUCUAUCAGCAAACAGCAUGCAAGUGCCAGCGUCCAAUCAUUCCUGCAUGGAAUGCCAUCAGACUUCCUCAGUUGGAGUUACUUAAAAGUUAAAUUGUUGGGAUUUUUGAUAAUGCCUUUCCCAUGUGGAUUACUACAAUUUGAUGGCUCGGAACUCUCCACUCAGAAGGUGACCUGACCGCAGAAGUGCUAACUCCUGUUUAUUCAGGAAAGACUUCCGACUGGGGAAGACUUCCAGGUGUGAAUCAUGAGAGAGCGGAGAGGCCUGUGAUUUACGUUUUGGAGGGCAUGCCUGAGUGUGAUUAAGGGAUUUAAGUGCAGGACUCUAAGAUUUACUUCCUUCCUGUUCCAGCAGGGUUACCUGAAGGAGUGAGUAAUGGGGUAAUUUAUAACACCACAGGCUCUUUGUCAAGACCACUAGUCAAAACAGGAAGAUCAAACUCAGGUUUCAAUGGGCAGACUACAACUUUUGAUACUCUCUGGACAUCCUUCUUAAUUAUAAGUGGAAGAUCUUCAAGAAUUUUCCUAAGGAGAUGUCCAAAGGUGCAGCAUUUCUGGUUCCUUCGAGAGGGUGAGGAGAGCCUGCAGGCAUGCUGUGCACCUCUGCAAUUGCUAGUCCCAGGGUCACAGCAAGUGGAAGUGCAGAGCACCACAAACUGCUUUGAGCAGAGCCCACUUCCUUCAUCCCGGAGAGCAUGGAGCCGUUACACCAACAUCAAUCAAGGGGGACCCAGGCGCUGCACUCACACAGUUGAAGCAGGGGAGCAAAUCGAAGACUCACCCAGGAGCAGAGUGCUUUUGAGACAGAGGAAGAAGACAAAACAGCUCCCAGCUCAGCUUCUCUUGCCAUAUUCAGGAAUCACCACACGUGCUGUUAUAUUGGGCCUCAUUUUGUUUCCCUUUCCCCAACACCUGUGUGCUGUGCUUGUGGUGAGUCUUCACAGCCAAGUACAAUUUUUCCAGUUCAACUCCACUGAUCACUAUCAACAAGAAAGUGUAAGAGCUCAGAAGUCAUCUUGGAGGCCCCAGGCGAAGACCAGUCCUGCAACCUUGGAAGGCAGCUAUGGUCACCACUAUACCACCAACGCCACACCAGUCAUGCAACCUUGGGAUGUGCAGGGUUUGGGCAGCCAAGGCUUGCUGCACUAACCCUUUGCUGCAUGUGUUUCAACAGUGCCAUUUACUUGAUGAAUGUCUCUUUUCCGGCAGAUGACAUGAGAACAGUGCUUGUAACUGUUUCUGCUCAGCAUGAUAUUCAGAACCCUUAACAUGGUUACUGACAUACAGGAG
rnacentral:lncRNA from 1 species